rnacentral:rRNA from 1 species
AUUGAACGCUGGCGGCAGGCCUAACACAUGCAAGUCGAGCGAGCGGCGGACGGGUGAGUAAUGUCUGGGAAACUGCCUGAUGGUGGGGGAUAACUACUGGAAACGGUAGCUAAUACCGCAUACCAUCAGAUGUGCCCAGAUGGGAUUAGCUAGUAGGUGGGGUAACGGCUCACCUUGGCGACGAUCCCUAGCUGGUCUGAGAGGAUGAGCAGGCAACCUGUAACUUAGACACGGUCCAGACUCCUACGGGAUGCAGCAGUGGGGAUGAUUGGACAAUGGGCGAAAGCCUGAUCCAGCCAUGCCGCGUGUGUGAAGAAAGUCUUAUGAUUGUAAAGCACUUUAAGUUGGGAGGCGUUACCAACAGAAUAAGCACCGGCUAACUUGGUGCCAGCAGCCGCGGUAAUAC